UACCAGCACCCCGAGUGGUCGGGACGUUAUUGGGCCUAAAGCAUCCGUAGCCGGUUUUACAAGUCCUCCGUUAAAUCCAGCUGCUUAACAGAUGGGCUGCAGAGGAUACUAUAAGACUAGGAGGCAGGAGAGGCAAGCGGUACUCGAUGGGUAGGGGUAAAAUCCGUUGAUCCAUUGAAGACCACCAGUGGCGAAGGCGGCUUGCCAGAACGCGCUCGACGGUGAGGGAUGAGAGCUGGGGGGAGCAAACCGG
rnacentral:rRNA from 1 species